GGAGCUGCUGCUGGUCCCAUGAUGUGGGUGCCCCAUUUUUUGGGAUUCUCAUCCGAUGCUGGUGGGUGAUCAUUAGGGUGGGAUUCCUCCGUGACAGUGGCAGAUGAGGUUGGUUCGUGGAAUUCUGCCUCUUGAUCAGCCUUAGGUGGUGGUGGAGGUACUUGUUGGGUUUCUGCCUCUUGAGGAGUGCCUGUCAUCUUUACUAAAUGGAAUUGAAUGGAAGGUAAAGGGGGGAAAACACAAAAAGCGGCAGUUCAAGAUUGGUUAUCUGAUUCAGUGAGAACUCUUUGGAAGAUUUGAUGGUUAAAUUAGUGCUAAUAAGCUGUUGAUUUAUAGAAGUUCAAUUCAUGGGUUAUCCAUAUUGUACAAUUUGCAGACACGGUUUCGUUUUCGUUGCAAUGAAGAAAGAUGAGAAAUCAACCUUCUAGAUUAGCAAGAAUGUGUACAGCCUCUUUAGUCAGCCGUAUAAAUUAUACUCUUUCUAGAUAUUUUGAAAACGGGUGCCAUCGUCAAAGCACCGCUUGAUAUUAUCACGGAUAGAAUCAUAGAAAAGAAGGUUUGUCUGCUUUGCAUCAACAAAUUAAUAAAAUAUCUAAAAAAAUAUUAAUUUUUCGCUUGUUGACCGAUUGAUCAUCACGGUUAGAAAGGAAGGUUUGGCUGCUUUGCUUUGAAAUACCCAAACAUGUCAUCAGGCGAAAGCAACAUCUCUCUCUCUUUUUUUAAUGAACAGGAACCUAAGGUAUUGAUUAACAUUGAAAUAUUUAUAGUUUUUUAAAGUAUUUUUUAUUUAAAAAUAUAUUAAAAUACCUCAAUAAUAUCUUUUUCAUGAAAAGAAAUUUAAUGGCAUAUUUUUUGUGAUAAAAAUGUAGUUAACCAACAAUUUUAUCUUUUUUAUUUUAUUUUUUUAUGACUACUUUUUUUAUUUCAAAGUUUAUGAAUUGAAAGGUAAAAUAAAUUAAUUUUAGUAAAUAAAUGUAAAACCCAUAAAAAAAAACCAAAAAGUAAAACUUGAAAUUAUUGGGAUCAAACUAUAAUUCCCCAUGCCAAACUGAAAAGGGGUUGCAUCUGUUUGGUUGUGUCAAUGUUGGUUCCUGUUGUUUUAAUUUUCUAAGAUUGAUAAAAUCUUAGAAAAUAUAUUACGAAGGGAACCUCAAAAAAGCCUUCAGCUUAUAGGGCUAAUCUUGGUUAGGUCUAAAUAUGUUUUUCAUCUAGAUUAAAUCCUCUAUUUAUUAAUGAAUUCUCAAUCAAAUCAUUAUGUUAAUUUAGGUUAAUGUAAUGGUUAAGUAUGGGAUAAUGAGAAUAAAUUAUACUUAUAAAUACAAGAGUUUUGUAUUAUAUAUAUAUAUAUAUAUAUAUAUAAAGUUUGGUCUCCAUGUGAGAUUCACGUUAUUCAAAAGUAAAAAUCUUAGAAAAUUUGCUUGUUUUUGUAAAAAAUAUAAAAUAAAAAUCACAUCAUCAUCAAGUAUUACUUAAUAGUAUCAUUAAUUCAUUCUUAAUUGCGGAUUUAAUCAUUGCGGAUCUAAUCUAAACUAGCUUCGAAGUUUGGGGAUUCUUACAAGGUUUGCCUAGCAAAAGGAAAUUGAAGGAAUAAUUAGGUGUGAGUAGUAAUCAUAGUUUAAUCUAAAGCCGAUAAAUAUUUACCCAACACGAAUGGAUGAAUAUUUUUUUAUGAUUGCCUUACUGGAUAGAUAAUGAGUAUAGUAUAAAUAUUGUAAAAUCUGAUUCAAAACUUGCUUUAACCUAACUACGAAAUAUAUAUGUAUAUUAUAUUAAUAUAUUUGUAGAAUAUUUAGAUUUUUUUAAUAUAUAUAUAUAUAUAUAUAUAUAUAUAUAUAAUCAUUUGCUAUUCAUUAUCUAUUAGAAAAAAUAUAGAUAUUUAUAUCUAACUCAUCUUAUCCAUAUCCAAAAUAAAUAAUUAUACACUAUAGAUUAUCUAUUAAAAAGAAACAUCGAUAUCCAUGUCUAACUCGUUGAAUCUCGAAUAUUCAUUAGUAGUUUUUAUUUAUUUAAGUAGUUAUCAUAUUACGUGUUCCGCACAUGAUUAACAUUGGUUGUCAGGGUGGACAUUAGGUGCUGGCGGUGGUACCAUGACGUGGCUGCCCCAUUUCUUGGUUUCCUCAUCCGAUAGUGGUGGUGGUUGAAGCGGCGACCCCUCUGUGACAGUGGACGAUGAGGGUGGCUGAUGAGAUUCGGCUCCUGUAGCUUUAGGAGCUGAUAAUGCUGGGACUGGUACUUCAUGUUGCUGUGCCUGUUGAGGUGAGCUUGUCAUUUUGACCGACUAGAACUGAAUGGAAGGUAGAUGUGGCAAGAGCAAAAACUAUCGGUGCGAUAUUGAAGAAAGCAGAUUUUUUUUUUUUUUGAUGGAUUGAAGAAAGUAGAUGAAUCAACCUUCUAGAUUGAAAGCGUCCUUAGCCUGUUAGCCAGAUGACUAUUCCGAGGAGGACUAUCUAGGUGAACAGGUGGCAAUGCCAAAAAACUUUUUGGCCGAAUGAAAUUAUCAGGAGAAGAAUCGAAAAGGUUUCUAGCUAGACACCAUUAAUAAAUUUAACAGCCUGGCUGUUUUUGUUUAUGAUGUAAUAUCUAGAGUGAAUAAAAAUUAGGAUUUUAAAAUUCUAAGGUUAUAGCUGAGAUUUUUGAGAAAUAUAGAUAAAACUCUAAUAAGUUUGGGAUUUAAUAAUUUUCAAUAAAAAAAAUAAAUUAAACAUCCCUAAUUUAAGUCUUAAUUUAGGAAAAGGAUUCCUUAUUGAUAGUUACAUAAUUCAACUAGCAUUGGAAUUCAUAUAUUAAGUAAAAUCAUGUAAAUCUCAACAAUUAAAUAAAUAUUAUAAUAAAAAUAAUUAUGUCAUAUAAUAAAAAAUAAAAUAGUGUCUCUUGUCAUUCCCUACUACUUGCAAAAAAUACUCACCCUCUAGUUAAAUAUUAGAAAUUAAACUCAUUCUUAAAAGAUUGAAACUAUAUAAUGAGUCUACUUAUAAAUUUCAAAAUUAGAUACUUUUAUAUCGAAUUCUUUUUUUUUAUACUCUCUCAAAUUCAUCAGCUUAUAAAUUAACUUUGAGCGUAAUCUUUGAUAAUAAUUUUAUAAUUUAUCAGAGUUUCUACUUCUUACAUGUACUUUUCAAUGUUCUAAAUUACAAUUUCAAUUCCAUAAUCCUUUUUUAAUAAAGAGUAAUAUAGUUAAUGGUGUUUGAUUAUGCUAUUCUAUUUUUUUAACUUAAAUAAUCCUUUUUUUAGGUAGUGUUUUGUUCCUGUCUCGGGAUAAAAAAGACAAAGAUAAUAAAAACAAAAAAGACAAGAUAAAAAGAAAAUAAAGAUAAAAUUUUGUUUGAUAGUUAUGAUUCCUAAACUAAACAAAUCCUUGUAAAUUUUAAUAAUUAAAUAAAUGUUAUAAUAAAAAUAAUGAUGUCAUAAAUUAAAAAACAAUAUCCCACGAUUAGUUUAAAUAUCGGGAUAUGCUAUCAGCAACCUUAAUUUAAUGGACACUGUAAAAGGGACCUCAUAAACUGAUCCUAUUCUAAUUUAACUAUGCAUUGCGUAACUCAAUUAUCUCUGUCUUCGAAAGUUACCAUUUCACCUCCGGUAGGAGUUCUGGUAGCAACCCUAGCUUCUAAGCAAUAGGUAUUAACCUGUCUAUUUCACAAUUCGGUUGAUUUGUGUAUUGCUAAAACUCAAGCUGACAAGUAUUAAUACUAAUUACGGAGUUGAGGAAGCAAUCAUAUCCUUUGCCGACAAAGUGCCCGAUCGGUUGGCAAUUGUCUAUUUUCUCCACAAUUGAUUUGUCAUAUCCUUUGCCGAUACAGUGCCCGAUCGGUUGAUUUGUUAAGUAGCCACCGACAUGGAGCUUUUUAACUUUUUGUGAUUCACUUUCAAUGAUUUGUGGUGGCAGCCUGCAACUCCGCUAUAAAUUCACUUUCCGCGGUGGGGAUGGAUUCUCUGCUCUUAGCAUUUGCUGAAAAAACUUCAUUUUAGACAGUCCUAUCAUUUUCUAUACUGUGCUCUAGCAAUCAAAAUUACGACGGUUUUGGCUAAGUAAAAGUGUUCCUUUCAACGACACUGCCCACUGCAGAGGGAUUAUCUCAACUUGCACAUUGGAUAAACCUCCUUAGAUUUUCUUUGAUCACGUCAUUUUAUUUUCGUUGCCCAUUUGAAAUUAUUUGGCUGAAAUGGAAAGACAAUACUACGAAUUAAUGUUAAGAUCAAAUCACGGCGUUUUUUGGAAUUCCAAUUCUUGCAAUUAUUAACGUUCACAAAAAAACUGAAAUGAUCGAACCCAUUAUAGAAUUGAAGCCCAUAUAUGACAAGCCAUCCGGGUCUCUCUUUUUUUUUUUUUUUAAUGUUGACAGCAUUUCAUUCAUAUCAUUCAUAGAAACUCGAAUUUUGAGGAGUCUUUUAAGUAUUUAGCCCGCUACACUGUUAACAAUGCUGUUGAGGCUUUUCCAAAUUAAGAAUGCGGUGGGAGGGUGGAGAAAGUAUAUCAGAAAAUAUAUCCAAAUGCAACUCCGUUUUCAAAAAUCUACAUAAAUAUAUAAACAACAAUCAAAGAAAAGAAUACAUGAUAGAAGAGGAUAAAUGAAUGACAACAGGAAAACUAAAGGAAAGCUCCCUUCAGGCAACAAACAAUAAAUGCACUAGAAACAGUGAAAAUCAAAAUCUUGAAGGGCAUGAAGGAUUCAACUAUCAUUGGCUAAACAACAACUGGUUGAAUUGCAAUUCCUGCUUCCUUGAAACUUGACACGCUCUCUGAUAGAUUUUGCAAGGCUUUCUCAAAAUUAACGAAACCCAUAAACCAGAAGUCGUGCCCAUCGAUGCUGACAAUUUGAAUGUACUUCCUUGAUGGAUUUUCCAGCAUGGUCUCCGAGCUGACUCUGCUUAUUUUUUCCAAGGGUAUCAUAACCUGCUCAAAAUAAGUUAUUAUUGAAUUCAUCAGUACCAUGAUAUACACGGAUGGCUAUAGCAAGAUAGAAAAUUUAGUUUGAGCUUUGAUUGCCAAAGAUAUUUAGUUUUGUUUUGUUGUAUCUCCGUGAACUACCCUUUUAUACAUGCACGAUUUCUCUCAACUUCACCUUUUGUUUGGAAUUUAACAGAGCUUAACUAUAUAUAAUAAUAGGCUAAUAGCUAUGAAUGUAGUAAAAUCUAUCCGACUUGGUGUCUAGCGAUGUAUUUACCUUGUAGUAGCUCCAGGCCUCCUCCCCUGAAGGAACAGUAUGGCACAGAGGACGGUCGCUGCAGAACGCGACUCGAGCAGUUGACAGAUAGAGCGUCCCGGCAACAGGGCCAGUAGAUGUUGAGAGGUAACAAGCAAAACUCUUCUUCAGCUUCUCAUUAGGAUCGGUGGUUUCAAAUAUAUGCUUGAAGAGAGACUCAAAGCCACCCUCUGUCAUUGCUUUCACCGUCAGGUUUACCUUACCCCAGGCAGCUUGUGGCACAGAUGGCCCUGUGCUAACUGCAUUAAAGUGUAUGUGCAGGUGCGUGUUAAAACAGAUCAGAAAUAAGAUUGGAAGAUACACUUGAACUAAAUUUGUUGUCCGCUUUGAUGCCAGAAAAUCGCUACUCUAUCAUGGUCACAGUUACAGUGACGAUCAAUUAGCUAAUUUAAUAUUUCAUGGUUUGUGAACAUCAACUUACGAUUGUGCCAGAUGUUACGGGCUACGGUCUCUGCCAUCUUGCCCCAUUCUUGAAACUUAUGGAUCACAGGUUCAAAAGAUUUCUGGGUUGACAUUUCUGAUUUGUCAAUGGGAGUAUAAACCAGGUAUGGGUGCUCGGGGAUUUGCUGGUGCUCACUGGCAUUCCAUAAGGCAGCCUGUUGGUUGUCAGGGUGGAAAUUAGGUGCUGCUGGAGGCCCCAUGAUGUGGGUGCCCCAUUUCUUGGAUUUCUCAUCCGAUGCUGGUGGUUGAUCCUUAGGGUGGGAUUCCUCCGUGACAGUGGCAGAUGAGGUUGGUUCAUGGAAUUCUGCCUCUUGAUCAGCCUUUGAAGAUGGUGGUGGUGGAGGUACUUGUUGGGUUUCUGUCUCUUGCGGAGUGCCUGUCAUCUUUACUAAAUAAAAUUGAAUGGAAGGUAAAAGGGGGAAAACACGAAAAGCGGCAGAUCA
rnacentral:lncRNA from 1 species